rnacentral:lncRNA from 1 species
GUCGAAUCACGGCAUCAAAACGGUUCCAGUCAAGGUAGAUUCAGUGUCUUCCAUCGGGGCAAUUGCACCAGUAAAACGGUUCUGCGUCUCUCAUGUGCACAGCAGCAGGCUCGAGCCAUGGAUUGAUAUCAUCAUCAUCAUCAGCAGCAUCAGAUGAUGAUGAUGAAGAAUUGCAUCCAAACUCGGAUCCUGCAUUAGGAGUCGGUGUAAUCCCGCCUGCGAAAUAUAAUCAUGCCCGCCGGGAGAUUCCUCACUGCGGGACAUGGCACGUUCCAGACACGUUGACAGAAAGUUAAAAAUACUAUCAAUGCAUUUACAUGUGUAUAUUAUUAGCGUUGGCCUUGCAGUUCUCGGAUUGUACUGAGUAGCGAAUCCUGUCUGUAUGCACAAAUGUUCAAUGAACC